CUGCCCAGUUUGUUAUCUCAGAUUAUUUGGGACAGUGAUAAAUAUUCACUUGGCACUGCAACUAAGAGACUUCAUAAAGAACUGGGUCCCACUGCAGAUGUUAAGUAAAGCAUUUCAUCUGUUCUAAGGCCUGCAAACUGGAACCAUAAUGCUUAGUCUUUGCUUUCUUCUCACUUAGUCUGGUUAGGAAAUAAAAGCAAAAUGCUGCCUAUUUGUGUGCUGCACUAUUGCAUUCACACUCUCAUAGUUAUUGCUCUGGUUAAUCUGCUUUCUGUUCUGCUGGUUGUUUAUCACGAAUGUCUCUUAGGAGACUCAGAAGAAUGUUUUUUACCUUGUGUUUCAUUCUCUGUUUAGGAGAAUAAGAAGUACACGCCAGGUAAACCUGUGCUCCCUGUUGCACAUUGCCCUUCUUUUCACUGCAUCUAAUUUAGGUGUAGUGAAAAGAGGGACAGUGCUUAAGUGCUGAAGUGCUAGUGUGCUAUGGUAUUUCAGCUCCAUGUGUUUAAAGUGGCCUUUAGAUGUGCUCAAAUUUUCUGCAAAAUUCCGCCUCUGAAACAUCUCUUCAUCCCUGGCAUUUUUUUGUUCUUAUUUUUAUAAGUGGUGUCAAUUGCUUUGCUUUGUGAUCUGUGGUAGAGAGGAACCUGGAGUUCCAGAAUGUAAUUACCUGAAAUUAUGUUUUAUUUUGCCCAAUAAAAGAAGGCUUCUAA